UGGGGAAUUUUCCGCAAUGGGGGGAACCCUGACGGAGCAACGCCGCGUGCGGGAGGAGGGCCUGUGGGUUGUAAACCGCUUUUCUCUAGGAAGAAGGUCUGACGGUACUAGAGGAAUCAGCAUCGGCUAACUCCGUGCCAGCAGCCGCGGUAAGACGGAGGAUGCAAGCGUUAUCCGGAUUUAUUGGGCGUAAAGCGUCCGUAGGCGGUUUAUCAAGUCAGUUGUUAAAGACUGCAGCUCAACUGUGGGCGAGCAACUGUAACUGAUGAACUAGAGUGCGUUAGGGGUAGAGGGAAAUCCCAGUGUAGCGGUGAAAUGGGUAGAUAUUUGGAAGAACACCAGUGGCGAAGGCGCUCUACUGGGCCGCAACUGACGCUGAGGGACGAAAGCUAGGGGAGCGAAAGGGAUUAGAUACCCCCGUAGUCC
rnacentral:rRNA from 1 species